rnacentral:rRNA from 1 species
UACGGAGGAUGCGAGCGUUAUCCGGAUUUAUUGGGUUUAAAGGGUGCGCAGGCGGUCUGUUAAGUCAGCGGUCAAAGCCCGGGGCUCAACCCCGGCCCGCCGUUGAAACUGGCGGCCCCGAGUGGGCGAGAAGUAUGCGGAAUGCGUGGUGUAGCGGUGAAAUGCAUAGAUAUCACGCAGAACUCCGAUUGCGAAGGCAUCUCACGAAUCCGCGAUUGACGCUGAUGCACGAAAGCGUGGGUAUCAAACAGG